UGUGCUCUUUGGUAAUGGGGUGCUCCAUGGACCACUUGUGUUACAUUUAAAUAUACUUCCUAUGUUCCUCUAUCUUUUCCUCAUCUUGAGAGUUCACCACCUGAACUCUCUCCCUAUCUCUCCCCUUCUUGUGUCUCUUUCACCACAAGUGUAUAUCUUGAUCAUCUCCCGCUUCCGGCCUUUUCUCCUAUUUCCUCCUAACUUUUACUUUCACUCCAUCAAUGUCCUGUUGUAUUAACUUCACUCAUCACCCUUGGAUUCUCUUCCCAGUCACCUUGUGUCUCUCUUCUCUAUUUCCAAAACCAAACGGUUGUUCUCCCCUUAUCCCCUCUUACGCAAAGCAAAGAUCCUGAGCUAAACUCAAUGUAGAGUCCUGCACCACCUGGGUUUAGAUCAUACAAAUAGGUUGUGGCUCUCUGCUUGAGGUAGUGGAGGCAGGGAGCUGUGCCUGGCAGACACCAAGUAAAAAGUCAAACCAUUCUAAAACAGUUUGGCUACUUACAAUGAGGGAGGAUGCCAGAAUUCUACUAGCACCAUAACCACUGCAGAUAGCUGAAGUAGGUAUAGUGCUUGAACUGUUCCCAUUGUGCAUUAUAGAGCUCUGUGAAAGAUUAUUCAAAUUUCACUUUGUAUGCCUAAAUCACCCUAUUUACCCUCGGCAUGAUGUGUCCUAUUGAAUAUCACAGAGAUUAGAUCUUGUAAAGUCCUGCAACUACGGUGAACCAGGG